UAGAUGGUGGUAGAUGGUGGUAGAUGGUGGUAGAUGGUGGUAGUUAGUGGUAGAUGGUGGUAGAUGGUGGUAUAUGGUGGUAGUUAGUGGUAGAUGGUGGUAGAAGGUAGUAGAUGGUGGUAGUUAGUGGUAGUUAGUGGUAGAUGGUGGUAUAUGGUGGUAGUUAGUGGUAGAUGGUGGUAGUUAGUAGUAGAUGGUGGUAGUUCGUGGUAGAUGGUGGUAGUUAGUAGUAGAUGGUGGUAGUUCGUGGUAGAUGGUGGUAGUUAGUAGUAGAUGGUGGUAGUUAGUGGUAGAUGGUGGUAGUUAGUGGUAGAUGGUGAUAGUUAGUGGUAGAUGGUGGUAGUUAGUGGUAGAUGGUGGUAUAUGGUGGUAGUUAGUGGUAGAUGGUGGUAGAUGGUGGUAUAUGGUGGUAGUUAGUGGUAGAUGGUGGUAGAAGGUAGUAGAUGGUGGUAGUUAGUGGUAGUUAGUGGUAGAUGGUGGUAUAUGGUGGUAGUUAGUGGUAGAUGGUGGUAGUUAGUAGUAGAUGGUGGUAGUUCGUGGUAGAUGGUGGUAGUUAGUAGUAGAUGGUGGUAGUUAGUAGUAGAUGGUGGUAGUUAGUAGUAGAUGGUGGUAGUUCGUGGUAGAUGGUGGUAGUUAGUAGUAGAUGGUGGUAGUUAGUAGUAGAUGGUGGUAGUUCGUGGUAGAUGGUGGUAGUCAGUAGUAGUUGGUGGUAGUUAGUGGUAGAUGGUGGUAGUUAGUGGUAUAUGGUGGUAGUUAGUGGUAGAUGGUGGUAGAUGGUGGUAUAUGGUGGUAGUUAGUGGUAGAUGGUGGUAGAAGGUGGUAGAUGGUGGUAGUUAGUGGUAGAUGGUGGUAGUUAGUGGUAGAUGGUGGUAGAUGGUGGUAUAUGGUGGUAGUUAGUGGUAGAUGGUGGUAGAAGGUGGUAGAUGGUGGUAGAUGGUGGUAUAUGGUGGUAGUUAGUGGUAGAUGGUGGUAGAAGGUAGUAGAUGGUGGUAGUUAGUGGUAGUUAGUGGUAGAUGGUGGUAUAUGGUGGUAGUUAGUAGUAGAUGGUGGUAGUUAGUAGUAGAUGGUGGUAGUUCGUGGUAGAUGGUGGUAGUCAGUAGUAGUUGGUGGUAGUUAGUGGUAGAUGGUGGUAGUUAGUGGUAUAUGGUGGUAGUUAGUGGUAGAUGGUGGUAGAUGGUGGUAUAUGGUGGUAGUUAGUAGUAGAUGGUGGUAGUUAGUAGUAGAUGGUGGUAGUUCGUGGUAGAUGGUGGUAGUCAGUAGUAGUUGGUGGUAGUUAGUGGUAGAUGGUGGUAGUUAGUGGUAUAUGGUGGUAGUUAGUGGUAGAUGGUGGUAGAUGGUGGUAUAUGGUGGUAGUUAGUGGUAGAUGGUGGUAGAAGGUGGUAGAUGGUGGUAGUUAGUGGUAGAUGGUGGUAGUUAGUGGUAGAUGGUGGUAGAUGGUGGUAUAUGGUGGUAGUUAGUGGUAGAUGGUGGUAGAAGGUGGUAGAUGGUGGUAGAUGGUGGUAUAUGGUGGUAGUUAGUGGUAGAUGGUGGUAGAAGGUAGUAGAUGGUGGUAGUUAGUGGUAGUUAGUGGUAGAUGGUGGUAUAUGGUGGUAGUUAGUGGUAGAUGGUGGUAGUUAGUAGUAGAUGGUGGUAGUUCGUGGUAGAUGGUGGUAGUUAGUAGUAGAUGGUGGUAGUUAGUAGUAGAUGGUGGUAGUUAGUAGUAGAUGGUGGUAGUUCGUGGUAGAUGGUGGUAGUUAGUAGUAGAUGGUGGUAGUUAGUAGUAGAUGGUGGUAGUUCGUGGUAGAUGGUGGUAGUUAGUAGUAGAUGGUGGUAGUCAGUAGUAGUUGGUGGUAGUUAGUGGUAGAUGGUGGUAGUUAGUGGUAUAUGGUGGUAGUUAGUGGUAGAUGGUGGUAGAUGGUGGUAUAUGGUGGUAGUUAGUGGUAGAUGGUGGUAGAAGGUGGUAGAUGGUGGUAGUUAGUGGUAGAUGGUGAUAGUUAGUGGUAGAUGGUGGUAGAUGGUGGUAGAUGGUGGUAUAUGGUGGUAGUUAGUGGUAGAUGGUGGUAGAAGGUGGUAGAUGGUGGUAGAUGGUGGUAGUUAGUGGUAGAUGGUGAUAGUUAGUGGUAGAUGGUGGUAGAUGGUUGUAGAUUGAUCGUUCUGUCUCUACACCACACUGUCACAAGGGGGAGGAAUAACUCUGAUCUAUCGGUAGUCUAAACUGUGGCACAGAUUGACCGUCUUUUCCUAAAUCAAUGGAGGUGUUUUCAGUCUGAUAGUCUCUCUUCUCUGGCAAUAAAGUCCUGCAUCAGGCGACAACAACAACACAUUAGCUGGCGGUGGUUCUGGAGUUAAGAGAGAACUUGGUGAAAUACAAUCGGGGAAUUACACUCGACAUGUGGACUGACGAUUUUCCAAAAGAAGGCACGGUGGGCUGUUGGUUUCUGUCCCUCUGAAAACCAGAAGUAAAUCAUUCUAAAAAAAAAAACUGUCUUUAUUUACCACAUUGUGGAAGAGUGGCAAACCCUCUGUAUGAAGGGAGGUUCUGACACACGGAGUCCUCCUUUACUGAGGUGAAGAAGAGACGGGAUGGGAGGUUCUGACACACGGAGUCCUCCUUUACUGAGGUGAAGAAGAGACGGGAUGGGAGGUUCUGACACACGGAGUCCUCCUUUACUGAGGUGAAGAAGAGACGGGAUGGGAGGUUCUGACACACGGAGUCCUCCUUUACUGAGGUGAAGAAGAGACGGGAUGGGAGGUUCUGACACACGGAGUCCUCCUUUACUGAGGUGAAGAAGAGACGGGAUGGGAGGUUCUGACACACGGAGUCCUCCUUUACUGAGGUGAAGAAGAGACGGGAUGGGAGGUUCUGACACACGGAGUCCUCCUUUACUGAGGUGAAGAAGAGACGGGAUGGGAGGUUCUGACACACGGAGUCCUCCUUUACUGAGGUGAAGAAGAGACGGGAUGAAAGAGAGUCCGGCGAGGAUUUUUUGUCUUUAAUAAAGAAAUGUUUUGACUGUUUUGUCCAAGUUAAUCUUCUCAUGUUGUGUUUCUAUUAUCUGUGACACUGUGGUUGAAAUGAAGAAUGUAAACUAAAUCGAUCUAAUUAAAUCCUAAUGAAUAAUCA